rnacentral:rRNA from 1 species
UACGUAGGGGGCAAGCGUUGUCCGGAAUCAUUGGGCGUAAAGCGCGUGUAGGCGGCUCGGUAAGUCCGCUCUGAAGGUCCAGGGCUCAACCCUGGGAUGCGGGUGGAUACUGCCGGGCUCGAGUCCGGAAGAGGCGAGUGGAAUUCCUGGUGUAGCGGUGAAAUGCGCAGAUAUCAGGAGGAACACCGAUGGCGAAGGCAGCUCGCUGGGACGUGACUGACGCUGAGACGCGAAAGCGUGGGGAGCAAACAGG